rnacentral:rRNA from 1 species
AACGAACGCUGGCGGCAGGCUUAACACAUGCAAGCCGAACGCAUCCUUCGGGGUGAGUGGCAGACGGGUGAGUAACGCGCGGGAACGUGCCCUUCAGUUCGGGAUAACCCAGGGAAACUUGGGCUAAUACCGGAUACGUGCGAGAGCAGAAAGAUUUAUCGCUGAAGGAUCGGCCCGCGUCUGAUUAGCUAGUUGGUGGGGUAAUGGCUCACCAAGGCGACGAUCAGUAGCUGGUCUGAGAGGAUGAUCAGCCACAGGAGGACUGAGACACGGCCUAAACGCGUACGGGAGGCAGAAGGGGGGAAUAUUGGACAAUGGGCGGAAGCCUGAGCCAGCCAUGCCGCGUGAGUGAUGAAGGCCUUAGGGUUGUAUGGCUCUUUCGUCCGGGAAGAUAAUGACGGUACCGGAAUAAGAAGCCCCGGCUAACUUCGUGCCAGCAGCCGCCGUAA